CAAUCGUUGAGACGACCAAAAUACUGACAACAACGAUCGAGACGACGUCAGAACCUGAAACAAGCCACCCAGACACUUCGAUUUCACCACUGCCUACGACGACGUCUGCUACUUUGAGGACGGACAAGUCAAGUACACAAUGGCAGAAAGAAACGACUUUAAACCAAGUCACAACUCAGAAGACAGACAAUCAUCCGUCUACAACUGACGCCAUUGGUUUUGGGAACGCCGAUCAAAUAGACCUGAACACUCUGACUUCUACACCAACGGUGAGGACUGAACCCGAGACAACGGCUCCUGACGCGUCUAAAGUCCCCGGACUUUGGCCAGGGCUGUUGGACCUGGUUAAUGGACAAGCAGAGCCGGGUGACAUACAACAGUAUUUGAACGACGACG